UGCGUAGGCGGCUAUAUAAGUCAGGAGUGAAAGGUUCCCGCUAAACGGGAGAAGGUCUUUUGAUACUGUAUAGCUUGAAUAAGGUUGAGGUUAGCGGAAUGUGACAUGUAGCGGUGAAAUGCAUAGAUAUGUCAUAGAACACCAAUUGCGAAGGCAGCUGGCUAGACCUAUAUUGACGCUGAGGCACGAAAGCGUGGGGAGCGAACAGGAUUAGAUACCCUGGUAGUCC
rnacentral:rRNA from 1 species